rnacentral:tRNA from 1 species
CCUUCGAUAGCUCAGUUGGUAGAGCGGUGGACUGUAGUGAGAAGAAACAAUAGUAAUCCAUAGGUCACUGGUUCAAAUCCGGUUCGAAGGA